rfam:Ictidomys tridecemlineatus contig096447, whole genome shotgun sequence.
GGGGAUAUAGCUCAGUUGAAAGAGUGCUUGCCUUCCAUGCAUAAGGCCCUAGGUUCAAUCCCCUGCACCACCA